AUAAUUCAAAGGGAUUCACAUAUAAUCAUUUGGGUCUCCUCUAGAAUCGACAGAAGUGGCCUUUACAUAAAGACAGCUUUGCAUGCCAUGGUCCUCUAAUCUCAAACUUUUCUUUUCCUUAAACACUACCACAAAAACGGAAGGUAGUGGUGGAUAGUUAGUAGCUGUUUUGACAAUAGCUGUUAUCUGAUGGUUUUCCAACAAAUUUAAUGGUGAACACCGGAAGAGCAGCCAUUUGAUUUAGUUUUGCUGCGAAUUUAAAAAAACCGUUGUCAAUCUAUCUUGACCGUAUUUCAAUUUCCCAUUCUCUUAGUCCCAUAAUCUCAUUUAUCAGACACACCUUUCUCUUUCUCUCUUCUCUUUGCAAAAAUAUCCCCAAACCUUGCUAACUCUAACCUUCUUCUACGAGGUACCAUCGGCGAUAAAUUUCUGCCUCCGUCACCUCCAACCUUCAUCAACGCACCCAUCGCAGAUUCAGAUUUGUUCUAGCUACUUUUCCAUGUCUGCUUCUUCUGAUUCAGAUCCUCUGCCAAAACUUCACGUCGGACGAGCCUCUCGACUUUGGAGUUACUGGUGCCUCUUUCCUUUUGCUCUGCUCAUUACUUCUGGUUUGUUCUUUUUGGUUUGAUUUAAUUUGUUCUGAACUCUCUUUUUAUGUAUUUUGAAAUUGGUUUUGCUCAUUUUUUUUAUACCCAGUAAUUGCUUUGCUUCAUCCAUGGUAAUUCAACUCAGUUGUUCAAAUUUUAACGCAUUCCUUGUGAUAACCAUUCCCAUUUCUGUUUCUAUUCCACAAUUGUGCACCUUUACUGCUACCGUUUUUGAAAUUAUUAUUAUUAUUAUUAUUAUUAUUAUUAUUAUUAUUAUUAUUAUUUGUUUAAUUUUUAACCUUCUCUUCCAAAGUAUGAAGUAGGAUUCUGAUUGCAAAAUCGGCAUGGUAUUAUUGUGUUGUGUUGCGUUGUUGUUUCAUUCUAAGCCCUACUAUUAGUUAAAGAGGAAUUCCCUUGGCCCCUGUUGCUGCCUCAAUAGAAUCUUCUUUUUUGCUCCCACCUUUUUGAGGGUACGUAACAGUAUAUUGAGAAGUCUACGACAUAAUCGCUGUUUGUGGAUGUAUUUGUUUUUUCUGUUUGUAGGGAUACAACAAGACCAGGGAUUUAGAUAAUGAGGAGCUCUUGGAGUAGUUGCCUGCUUUGCAGCAGCUGCUAUAUAUACUUGUUGGUUGCCAGGUUCUUGGUGAUAGGAAGGGUAUUAGUCGGUUUGGUGACUUCUCUGCUCCACUUGAUGAAGCAUUAAUACACGUUUCACUGGAUUUAUCUGACCGACCACAUUUAAGUUAUAAUUUGGAUAUCCCUACCCAGAGAGUCGGGACAUAUGAUGCUCAGGGUGUCCAGAAACAGUUGCCUGUAGGGGCAUCACGAGUGACUCUGUUGGUGAGAAAUUUGAAAAAAAAUCAUUGUGAUCCAGGAUUUUGGAGGAGGUAAUGAAAAAGCUUGUAGACAUUGUGCAUUUUUUACAUUUGGAGAUACAUGAAGUAUUUGGCAGUGCUGGUGCUUUCAAGAACUACAAAUAAUUGAUUAUGAGCAUUUGGCAGUAUGAAAUGUCUCCUUAGAGUUCCAGUUUUUGCACUCAAUCUCUGCUACCUAUCCACUAGGGAAGACCAUUAUUAAAAUGUGCAUUUUGCUUCUGGUAUUUUGUUUUGGAGAUGUCAUUCUCGUGAUUUGUUACUACUUUAUUCUUGUGAUAUUUUAGCCAUCUUUAGGUUGCUCUUAUUUUUGUGUUUGUUUAGAUGUAAAACAUGUAUGCGGUAAGAAUCCUUAUUAAACAUUUUCAUUUAUUUUAAUAACAAAGUUUACAAGAAAAUCAUGAAGUUAGAUUUGAUCAUAAUUAUGACAGGAAAUGAAAGAUCAAGGAGUGCUUUACAACUGAUUUGUUAUUACUUUACUUGUGAUAUUUU